UUCUCUCAAGUUCCCGGCCGUCAUGAACUUGAGCUCUCAAGGGGUCCUUUCCUUUUACGACGCAACUGGAAAGAGCUGGGCAUCAGGAUCAAUGAGUUCACAAGACUACGCGCUUGACUAUGACGAUGCGAAUGUGUUGAGGAGACUUACGCUGGACGACGAUGGCAAUCUCAGGAUCUACAGCUUCGGCCCGAAGAACAAGAGUGGCUCCUGGAGCGUCGUCUGGCAAGCCGUCAUGCUCGAGUGCGACAUCUUUGGAACAUGUGGACCUUUCGCUCUCUGCACCUACAGGCCCACAAAAAUUUGCAGCUGUCCUCCUGGAUUUCACCGAGUUGAUCCAAACGACGAAUCGAAGGGUUGUGACUACGAUAUACCUCUGGGAGCUUGUCAAAACUCCCCGAACUCGGUGAAGCUCGUCCAGGUGAACCGAGCAGACUACUACUUCAACGAUUACAACUUCGACUCGAGCAUCAAGUCGCUCGAGAAGUGCAAGGACACCUGCAUGCAAGAUUGUAAGUGCCUGGCAGCCGCGUACAAGUACGACGGCACGGGCUUGUGCUUCCUCAAAGGCAACUCCAACAAGCUCUAUAACGGUAAGCAGACCUUGAACGAGAUGAAC
rnacentral:lncRNA from 1 species